CUGUUUAACCUCUCCUCUCUCGUCCUCUCCCCAGGUAAAGAACAUCUUGUUCCACUCUGUGAGGAUGCAUUGACGUCGCUGAGGAGGUACAGCCAGGAGGAGGAAGAGAACUCCUGACCCGUAGUCCCCCUGGCUCCUCCCUCUCUGGCUCCUCCCCCUCUGCCCUCCCUCUCUGGCGCCUCCCUCCUGGCGCCCCCUCUCUGGCGCUCCCUCUCUGGCGUCCCCUCUCUGAGACCUCCUCUCUGAGACCUCCCUCUCUGAGACCUCCCUCUCUGAGACCUCCCUCUCUGAGACCUCCCUCUCUGACACUUCCUUCAGCCUGGAACAGAUAUAUACACACUGACACACCACAACAGCAGAACACAAUUACAACACACUAAAACUACAUGUUACUGACCAGCAUCACUACACAGCAUCAGGAUACUGACCAUAGCAGCAUCACCACCCAGCAUCAGGUUACUGACCACAGCAGAAUCACCCACCCAGCUCAGGAUACUGACCACAGCAGCAUCACACCCCAGCACAGGAUACUGACCAUAGCACAUCACCACACCACCCAGCAUCAGGAUAUAACCACAGCAGCAUCGCUACACACAUCAGGAUACGACCACAGCAGCAUCACACCCAGCAUCAGAUACUACACCACAGCAGCAUCACUACCAGCAUCAGGAUACUGACCACAGCAGCAUCACUACCCAGCAUCAGGACUGACCAAGCAGCAUCACCACCAGAUCAGGAUACUGACCAUAGCAGCAUCACUACACAGCAUCAGGAUACAACCACACAGCAUCAAACUACCCAGCAUCAGGAUACUGACCACAGCAGCAUCACGACCCAGCAUCAGGAUACUGACCCAGCAACAUCACCACCCAGCAUCAGGAUACUGACCAUAGCAGCAUCACAACCAGCAUCAGGAUAACCAUAGCAGCAUCACCACCCAGCAUCAGGAUACUGACCAUAGCAGCAUCACCACCCAGCAUCACGAUACUGACCAUAGCAGCAUUACUACCCAGCAUCAGGAUACUGACCACAGCAGCAUCACUACCAGCAUCAGGAUACUGACCAUAGCAGCAUCGCCACCAAGCAUCAGAUACUGACCAGGCAGCACACUACCCAGCAUCAGGAUACUGACCAACAGCAUCACUACCCAGCAUCAGAUACUGACACACAGCAGCAUCACUACCCAGCAUCAGGAUACUGACCACAGCAGCACACUACCCAGCAUCAGGAUACUGACCACAGCAGCAUCGCACCACAGCAUCAGGAUACUGACCACAGCAGCAUCGCCCCACCACAGCAAUCAGAGAACUGAGUUCAGUAGAAUCUGGUCUCACAGCUCUGACUGCUGUUCUGGAACCUCUGUUCUCUGUUUGUUCCUGUUUUCCUUUUGUUUGUUUAGUUCAUUUUUUUCUUUCAAACUGUUGUAUAUUGUUCUGUGAAAAUGAUGUAUUUAUUUUAUAGGAGUUGUAAAUGCGAUGAGGUUCUAGAUCAAAUGUAAUGUGACUGUACAGUUUGCUAAAUGAUGAGUUGUGAGACGGAUGCCGUUUCCUACAUUGAGACAGUUAUCUGUGAGAGGAAACAGACUCAGCUGUCGCCGAGACCUCUGGGAGUCGCUGCGAAUUCGUCCUCAUGCCAUAUCUUUUAAAACGAACUGCCAAACAAUCUAUUGUAUGAAACCGUGUACAGUUUGUAUUAUGUAAAAAAAGACUAAAUGAAUAAUACACUUCAGCAUUUAUAAGAAGUAUUCAUGUAAAAUGGAGACAUUACACACAAAAAAUAAUUAUUUCAAAUUUGAAGUUUAAACGAUAACAAUGUGUGUAAAUAU
ensembl:lncRNA